GUUAUUUUGGCAGAAUAGUGUAAUAGAUUUAGAAUCUAUAUAUGUAGAUUAUCUACAAAUAAUA
rnacentral:tRNA from 1 species